UAUUCUGUGUCUAAGUAUGGCAUAAGUACAUGGAACGCCCUGUUUCCAAAUCUCGCGGGAAAAUAAGUUAUGUGGUGGGCCGACGAUACAAAUCUGGUGACCAAACAUGGAAUAUGUUAAUUAUACGUCGUGGAGAAUAAAGUCUCGUGAGUGACAAAACUAACACCAGAAAUUUGUUGAAAACGACGAAAAUUAUUCUAAGGAAAUAUUCACCGAAACUUAAAAAUAAAAAAUGUUUCACCUAUUUUGACGUGCUGAAACAAAUGUAGAACAAAAUGCUCUGCGUCUUAAAUUAAUGUUUCUGACUGAAUUUUGAUUAAGAACAUAUUGAAGAAAAGUGGAAUUUUAAAUCCAGAGGAAUUCUUUGUGCUUAUUAAAAGUGAAAAUUGUUUGCUGAAACGAGGGAGAUAUUUUAAAUCGAGAGGAAUCCUGGGUCUGUCCCGAAAAUAAUAAAAAGUGUUUAAUGAAACGAGGAAAAUAUUCAUAAUCAAGAGCAAGCCUUGGUCUGUUCUAAAAAUGAACAAAUGUUUAUUGAAACAAGGGACAUAUUUUAAAUUGAGAGGAAGUCCCGGUGAGUUAUCGAAGUGACAAUUAUUUAUUAUAUAACAUCGGAAAUAUUUAUAAUCGAGAAGAAGCCUUAGUCAGUUCCCAAAGUGAAAAAUAUUUAUUGAAACGAUUGAAAUAUUAUAAAUCUGGAGGAAUCCUAGGUCUGUUCCGAAAAUAAAAAAACGUGUUUAAUGAAACGAGGAAAGUAUCUAUAAUCGAGAGGAAGCCUUGGACUAUUCUAAAAGUGAAAAAUAUUUAUUGAAACGAGGGAACAUUUUAAAUCUAGAGAAUCCUGGGUUUGUUGCUAAAUAGAAACGAAGGAAACAUUUUAAAUCGAGAGGAACCUUGGUCAGUUACCAAAGUGAACCUUUUUUCAUUGAUUUUGUGUGUUUAAACUAGGAUUACAUCUGUAUCUCGUGUUAGCGUACAGUUUAAAAAACUAAUAUUUAUUUUAAAAAUUACCAAACGACGUAAAGGCUAUUAAUAGCACUGAUAGGUUUUAAAACAAUGACGUCAUUUGGUCGUUAAUACGUUUCUGCCAUACAGAAGGGUUUAGAAGAGUAGUAAAAUGCGGGGAUGUUUAUUGGUUUCUGUGAUACGGGUGUUGUUAACUAUAUUGUGUAUGGGGUGCUGGAGGGGCGUUACACCAAUAAGAAGAGAAAAUCGAUGUAUGAGACAUUAUUUUGUUGAAACUAUCAGACAUCCCAGUAAAGACUGUGAACAGAGAAAUGUUUUGUUAGCCAGGUGUGAAGGACAUUGUAAUAAAUCGAAAACUUUACCCAGAGUUUCAUUCUCACCAAUCUUAUAUCGCCCCUUCAAGUAUUCCUGUUCGUGUUGUCGAGAUAAUUUAUCAAUUAUGAAAGCG